rnacentral:rRNA from 1 species
UACGGAGGGUGCAAGCGUUAUCCGGAUUCACUGGGUUAAAGGGUGUGUAGGCGGGUAUUUAAGUCAGUGGUGAAAUCUCCAGGCUCAACCUGGAAACUGCCAUUGAUACUAUUUACCUUGAAUUCUGUUGAGGUGGGCGGAAUACAUCAUGUAGCGGUGAAAUGCUUAGAUAUGAUGUAGAACACCAAUUGCGAAGGCAGCUCACUAAACAGACAUUGACGCUGAGGCACGAAAGCGUGGGGGAUCAAACAGG